CAACCUAAACCCUAUCUUGAUUUCUACCAUUCUACGACCUAUUUGUCUUUGAUUUCUUCCUGUCUCUAUAGUUUUAUGCACCCAUUGGUGGCAACAUGUUUGAUCUGCAAUGGAUCAAGCAUGUACUGGCAUCUGUGGACCUAUAUGCUUAAUCUAUCCCAGAUUAGGCGGUUAGAGAUAUCUAUGUUGGCUGCAUGCUUGUUCCUGAAAUGAUGAUGGUGUUCACUGCUGCUUAUGGAACCUAUGUCCAUCUUGCUCUAUGAUGAUCGUCCAGUUCCACAUGUGCUUGAGAGCUAUCACUGCAAUGUCCCAUUUUGGGUUUAUAUGAUGCCUCUGUUAUUCACUUCCUCUUUCUUUCUCAUAGUCUACCUUGGUUUUGAUAGCAAAAGGUGACUUGGCUUUCAACUACCAACUUUAUACUUUGUGUUCAGUGUACUGAAAGCAAUACGAUAUCUGAACUGUUUUCCACCUU